rnacentral:rRNA from 1 species
GGAACACCAAUGGCGAAGGCAGGUCUCUGGGCCAAUACUGACACUGAGGAGCGAAAGCGUGGGGAGCGAACAGGAUUAGAUACCCUGGUAGUCCACGCCGUAAACGGUGGGCGCUAGUUGUGGGAACCUUCCACGGUUUCUGCGACGCAGCUAACGCAUUAAGCGCCCCGCCUGGGGAGUACGAUCGCAAGAUUAAAACUCAAAGGAAUUGACGGGGCCCCGCACAAGCAGCGGAGCAUGCGGCUUAAUUCGACGCAACGCGAAGAACCUUACCAAGGCUUGACAUAUACAGGAAUAUGGCAGAGAUGUCAUAGCGGUAAAACGUCUGUAUACAGGUGGUGCAUGGUUGUCGUCAGCUCGUGUCGUGAGAUGUUGGGUUAAGUCCCGCAACGAGCGCAACCCUCGUUCUGUGUUGCCAGCAUUUAGUUGGGGACUCACAGGAGACUGCCGGGGUUAACUCGGAGGAAGGUGGGGAUGACGUCAAAUCAUCAUGCCCCUUAUGUCUUGGGCUGCACGCAUGCUACAAUGGCUGGUGCAAAGGGCUGCAAUACUGCAAAGUGGAGCGAAUCCCAAAAAGCCAGUCUCAGUUCGGAUUGGGGUCUGCAACUCGACCCCAUGAAGUCGGAGUUGCUAGUGAUCGUAGAUCAGCAACGCUACGGUGAAUACGUUCCCGGGGCUUGUACACACCGCCCGUCACGUCACGAAAGUCGGUAACACCCGAAGUCAGUGGCCCAACCGUAAGGGGGGAGCUGCCGAAGGUGGGAUCGGUGAUUGGGACG